CCUCUCCAAGCAUGCCAAAUUAAUCACACUUCUUAAACACAUCUCUUGACCGGGGUGUUCUCACCAUGCCCUUUCUACAAACAAAAAUUACAGGAAUGCAGAUGUGAUUCCUAUGGAUGAGGGUAACCUAGAGGCUAGAAGAACAAUAGGACAGAAGAAGCCUGGGUCCCUGAACAACCUUGUGGAGCAUAGACACCUACGUGGCCUGGACUGCCAGCUCACAAUGGGCCUCUCUGUGAGAGAAGGAAACUUCCCUCUUGUUUAAGCAACUGUGCUUUUGAGAAUCUCUUGGUCUAUACCCUAAUGAAUAAGGCCAUCAUAAAUGGAUAUCAAAGUAAGGAAAUUUGUGUAAAUGAUUUAAUAAAACAUUACCUCAGGUAUGAAAUAAUUCUACCUUGUGCCUUGACAACAUCAGGUAUUAUUCAUGCCCUUUUCUCUCCCUGUAAUGUCUCUUAUCCACGGGUAGAAAUUAUAUUUUCCAUCUAAGGUUUGCUCAAAUAUUAUCUACUUAAGUAGCUCUUACCAAUUUUGCCUCUCCUCCUGAGCUGACCCUAUGCCUUCUAUGCUGUUCCAGGUAAUAUUAAUCUCUUCCUUUGUACUUCUUUCACAGAACAUACUUUUUUGUCUAACAUAAUAACUAUAGGCAUAAGUGUAUAGAUUCCACUAGGGGCUUCAGAACAGAAACUAUCAUCUUAUUAAUUUUUUUCUCCCUGAUAUCUAGGGAAAUAUGUUAUAUAUAAUAGGCCCUUAGUAAUCCCAUAAAUGUUUGUGAGAUAUUCACUGACUAUAAGCCAUACUCUGUAUUUAUUUAGCUAAAACAGACGUCUUUCAUAUUUAGUUAGCAGAAAAUGCUCACAUUUACUCCUUUCCUGUUUACCAAAUGAAAGGGUAAUUGUUUUUUCACAGAUUGCACUAGAAAAGUGUCUUCUCUCUCUUUUUCAAAUAGAUUGUCUUUAAAACAUAUGACAGGAAAAGUGACUAUUGUUAGGAUAAGAUAAUUACGAUUGUAACAGCUAGUUUAAAAGAAGUGUCAGUUGCUCCUGUUUUAUUUUUCACAGGAUAGAGCUGCGGCCUGUCUCAGUAUGAUGUUUUCAGGAUCUGGUAUAUAUUUUUAUUUUCCUACAUGAAUCUUUCAUCCUUUUACUGACAUUUAUUCAUUUUAUCUAAUUAUCCUAAAAGGAAAGCUCUGGCCAGGCAAAUUGGUUGUUGUCUGCCUCUGAAGAGACAUUCAUAUCGCGUCGCUUAGCUUUCAAGUUUUGUGAUCAGGAACCCUCAGGCCCAUUUUUAAGGAGGUUUCAGGCUAGCUGAGCUUCACUGUCUCCCAAAAUGUACAAAAUGAGAUUACAUGAGGGACAAGAUCAAUUUACUGGAAGGUACUUAAGCAGUAAAUCUGGAGCUUUUUGUCCAGUCACUAUUGCUUUCAAGCUUUGUAGCAGAAAAUUAAGCCACAAGAGCUUUGACAAAUUAGAUAUUACUACCUCUAAUUGUGUAUGUUUAAGCUUAUCACACUGAAUUGCAGCAUUGUAACUGACUAUUAUGCCAACAAGGCCUUCGUUUAAUCAGCGCAGUGCCAUUUAAUCGCAAUUAAUCACUCAACUAAAAUGUCAUAUUAAGGUCACAGAAACUUGAAGGGCUAAAAGAAAAGAGAACAUUAAAGUCAGCUGAUGGAGGAAAAGAGCAUGGUGUGCCAAGGGAAGUUCUGAGCACUCUUUUUCAUUAGAAGCUGGUAGAACAUUUAAUGAGAAUUCAGUCUUAACUUUCAGCUGAGAUCAGAACAACGUGCC
rnacentral:lncRNA from 10 species